rnacentral:rRNA from 1 species
GACGAACGCUGGCGGCGCGCUUAACACAUGCAAGUCGAACGGAAAGGCCUGCUUUCCCUUGUGGAUUGCGGGUACUCGAGUGGCGAACGGGUGAGUAACACGUGAGUGAUCUGCCCCCAACUUGGGUAUAAGCCUGGGAAACUGGGUCUAAUUCCCGAUAGGACUGCAGGGUGGUGCCUGUGGUGGAAAACGAUUUUCUAGUGGUUGGGGAUGAGCUCGCGGCCUAUCAGCUUGUUGGUGGGGUAAUGGCCUACCAAGGCGGCGACGGGUAGCCGGCCUGAGAGGGUGGACGGCCACAUUGGGACUGAGAUACGGCCCAGACUCCUACGGGAGGCAGCAGUGGGGAAUAGUGCACAAGGGGCGGAAGCCUGAUGCAGCGACGCCGCGGGGGGGAUGACGGCCUUCGGGUUGUAAACUCCUUUCGACCGCGAGGAAGCCACCUGGUUGGAAGGGUGGUGACGGUAGUGGUAGAAGAAGCACCGGCUAACUACGUG